rnacentral:lncRNA from 1 species
UGAAAGAGUAUGUCGGAGAUAAGGCACAUCUUUAUGCACAUGGUGCUGCACUAAUUGGGCCCAACAAAAUGUUAAAAGAAUAUACAGUAAAUAUGCCAAUAAAGUCACCAUAUUUUGCAAAGGGAACUGAGCUUAAUUAUUUAAGUCAGUGGCCGACAAAUUUAAAGGUCGGACAGUAAAAUAUAAAAAAGUACUAAAAGAUAAAAUUCUUAAACGCACAACAAUAAAAUAUAAAAAAGUAAAAAUAUCAAGGGAUCAAAAGGGCCCAUUCAUCGACACCUCAAACUUCCAUUAAAUAGCUUGAAUAAGGGCCCAAUCUAAAGUCCCGCGUAACUCGG